rnacentral:rRNA from 1 species
AUGCAAGUGCAGGCGGCCGCUACCAUACGGCUUUGUCUUGCGGAUCAGGUCAUGUAUCAUGACAUGGACGAAGAUACUCCUAAGGGAAUUUGGGACAAGUUGGCAAAUCGUUAUAUGUCCAAGUCAGCGACCAAUAAGCUGUAUUUGAAGCAAAAGUUCUAUGGGCUGAAGAUGCAGGAGGGGUCGGAUCUUGUGGAGCAUGUGAAUGCCUUUAAUCAGUUGGUCACGGAUCUAGCGCGUCUGGAUGUGAAGAUUGAGGACGAGGAUAAGGCACUACUUCUUCUUGUUUCAUUGCCACCGUCCUAUGAGCAUUUGGUCAUUACAUUGACACAUGGAAAGACAACCGUCAAUAAUGAGGAAGUCACUGCAGCGUUGCUUGGGCAUGAGCUGAGAAAGCAAAAGAAUGCUACAGAGGAGAGUACUCAAGGUUUGCGGUUGGCAGGUAAAGGUUAUCAGAUCAGGAAGGGACAAGAGGCGGAGAAGAAAAAGAAGAAAAAGGUGCAGUGCUACAGGUGCAAGGACUGGGGACAUAUAAAGAGGGAAUGCCCAGAACUGAAGGGUGGGGCAAGUGCUAAUGCGGCUAUUCAUGGUGAUGACUCGGACAGUAGUAGUGAUGUUCUCGUAGUAUCAAACAUGCGGUCAACAAAAACUGAAGCGUGGAUGUUGGAUUCAGCUUGA